rnacentral:lncRNA from 1 species
GAUAAAAUAGCACAGCGUGGAAAAUAAAACCAACCCAAUUUGACUUUUAUCAUUUAUCAUAAUCACAGCCUAAAUUGGAGGAUAAGGCUGAUCAUUCUGUCCCUUUAGUGAAUCAAUGUAUCAGGCUUGUAACAGGACAGCCUUAUUUCUAGAGUUCCCAGAUAUUAAACAAUGGAAAGUAAAAGCAGUUUAAUUGUCUGAAAGUAUUAAGACUUCACUACAAAGCGAUCUGGACCAGGACUGGGAUUUUAAUUGUGUUCUAGAAAGUGAUAGUACAAACAAUGUGUUAUUCUCCUUGAAUGAGCAAGUCUGAAAAAGGCAUUAAAGGGACACUAUAGGCUGCUUGAUGUAGUUGUUCUGGUGAGUAUAGUCAGUCCAUGCAGGCAUUUUCAGAGAAAAGGCAGUGUUUACAUUGCUUGCCUGGGACACCUCCAGUGGAAAUCACUCAGCUGUCCACUAGAGGUGCUUCCUAGUCCAGUGCUGCACAUUGUGCAGCACUGACUUUCACAUUGGAGACACUCAACGCUCCUCAUAAAGUUGCAUUGACUCAAUGCAUCUCUAUGAGGAGAUGCUGAUUGGCCAUACUGGCUGAGAUUGUCAAUUCUGAUGAUGUCAGCCAAGGAGAUGGAUCGGGGGCAGGGCAAGUGCUGAAUAAAGGUGAGUUUUUAUCUUAUUUAAGGAGGCAAGAGUGGUCGGCUACCUACAUAGUUAGUUUAACACUAUAGGGUCAGGAAUACACGUUCGUAUUCCUGACCCUAUAGUGUUCCUUUAAAGUCAAUAUUUUCGUGGCUUUCCUAUUUUGGUGUUUAUACUCCCGCCAGCCAGUGUUCGUACUUCUGACGCUCGGCAAACCGUAGCUGCUCUGCUCCUGUCUCUUGACAGUUAUUGAUUUAUGUUCAGAAUCCUCUUGAUGGCUGGCGAGAGCAUAAUUAACAAGUACUUCUCUUUGUAUUAAUCCCCAAAUAACCCCCGAUUUCCAUUAAAGCUAUUGACGAUUUGCUUAAAGGCGAUUAAAUCACUCCAUUAACUUUUAUAUGGAGAUAGUACGGCAGUUUCUUUCAUCAUCCGGGCAUAAAAAUGUGGCUGUUGUGACACCAUCUCUGAUGAAAUUCUGGAAUAAAAUGUGAAAGCUGGGUCAUGUCCUUCAUCAGCAAGCAACAUGCGUGAGGGCAAUGCAGGGGGCCACGUAUUUUACACUGCCAUACCACCAGGGUGGUCUUUUCUCCAUUUUUAUGUAAGAUACAGUCUAGGAACAAGAGAGAACAAUAUAUUUAACCUGGAAAAUAAAUCGCUUAAUGCUUACAAUAAAGGGUGGCAGGUCAGGUGAAUGUGGUCCUGGAGAUUAAAAUGACGAGUAUCAUUACUGCGCCAGAUACUGUAAUGAUGUGGGGUACUCUCUGACGGAGCUUUAGUGUUAGGUGGGCUGAACGUUAGGGGGCUUUCUGGAGGGAUGCUGUGGAUUGUAACUCGGGUUACAAUCCACUUGGUUUGACUGAGAAUCAUGGGUUGUACAUUUUAAAUAUGGCUGUGGCGAUGUAUUUAUGAAUAUAGCAGUAUUAGGGAUGGUUACCUUUAACACUGAUUCAGCUGCAGUAUUUUAGCUGUAUUUCUCUGUCUGUGGGAAGGAGUUGGGAGUAGAUUAGCGCAGAGCAGGGUUAGGACCGCAGCGAUGAGAGACAGUUGUCAGAAGAUAUUAGCUGCGAUUGUUCUCAGCCUGUUUCCAAUGAAAGAAUAAAAUGUUUCGCUGACAAUGUAAGAAAUUAUGGCACAGCUCGAUGUUUACAGAAUGACACAAGUGAGAAUAAUCAGACAAUGAAAUUCCCUUCACGCCGUCAGAGAACUUGUCACGCAAAUAUAUAUUCCAUCCAUGUGUGUUCUGAAAACAGCAAGAUGUAACUACAAUCAACUAGCAGCGAAUCGGCGUACACAGACAGUGCCUAAACCAACGCUUUUACUCACUAAAUGCUGAAUUGUGGGGAAAUUAGAAGAUAAUGGGAACAUUUAGGCUAAUAGUGAAACUCAGUUAUUGUCACCAAAUGUAAAUAUCUGGGGUGCCAAUGUUGAAGAGGAGCUGUCCCUCCCCAGGAUUUGAUUUAAUAAAUAUGUAUUUGCAGGAUGUUAGAAAUAAAAUUAAUGAAAUGCAGAAACCCACCCCUCUUUAUCCUGUAACUGGGCACCUCCAUCUUGGCUCCCUGUCAAUCAUUGUUAUAAGCUCCGCCCUUUACACCUGGCAGUCAGCAUUGAGAGAGCAUACGGAGAAGAUGAGAAAUUAAAUGAAGGUCACGUGUUAUUAUUAUCAUUUAUAUAGUGCCAACGCAUACCGCAGCGCUUUACAAUAAUACAUUGGUUAUAUAAAAAAA